rnacentral:rRNA from 1 species
GACAGAGGGGGCAAGCGUUGCUCGGAAUUACUGGGCGUAAAGGGCGCGUAGGCGGGAUGGCAAGUCGGUCGUGAAAUCCCUCGGCUCAACUGAGGAUCGUCGAUCGAUACUGCCGUUCUUGAGGAUUGCAGAGGAGACUGGAAUUCCCGGUGUAGCGGUGAAAUGUGUAGAGAUCGGGAGGAACACCGGUGGCGAAGGCGGCUCUCUGGACUCAUACUGACACUGAGGCACGAAAGCGUGGGUAGCAAACAGG